rnacentral:rRNA from 1 species
UACGUAGGGUGCGAGCGUUAAUCGGGAUUACUGUGCGUAAAGCGUGCGCAGGCGGCUUUGCAAGACAGAUGUGAAAUCCCCGGGCUCAACCUGGGAACUGCAUUUGUGACUGCAAGGCUAGAGUACGGCAGAGGGGGAUGGAAUUCCGCGUGUAGCAGUGAAAUGCGUAGAUAUGCGGAGGAACACCAAUGGCGAAGGCAAUCCCCUGGGCCUGUACUGACGCUCAUGCACGAAAGCGUGGGGAGCAAACAGG